GCCAGUAGCCAAUUUAAGUGAGGCAGAGAAAAAGGAGGCCCUUUCCAGGGGCUGUGGGUUUCAACUCUCUGAAUUUUGACCUGAGGGUACUCAGAAGAGCAGUGCUGGCUGUCUCUGCUCCCUGGGCUGCCCAUCAGAGAUGCUCUAACGCCUCACAACUGCAAUUGUCUCUGCUUCAGUCUUGGCCCUUUGGAUAAAGUCCCCAUAAAGGCUGACUGAGGUGGGAUUCAAGGUCUGUACAUCUGCUUGUACUCUGGGAGGAUCUGAGGAGAAGCUUUUGGUGUGAUGUGACUGACUUGAGGAGUAGUAGCCUCGGUGUGCUUUUUAAAUGCAUUUUCAUCUAAGAAUAAUGAAACAGCUUUUUAUUUCAAAGUGUCAAUGUUCUAUUAAAUCCCUAUUAUUUUUCCUGUAGUGGGAAUCAUUUGGCCCUUCCAUUACAGGGGGGCUGGUGCAUUGUCUCUUGAUCUCAUUCAUACAGAGCAGGAAGGGAAAAUGCUUAGCAGUGAAAAGUGAUGGAAGAGUAGUUUGAUUGGUUUUUUUGUUGAUGCCAUAUUGUUUGUGUUAAUCUACUUUUGUUUUAAAUAUGAAAAAGUUAUUUCUUUGAGGAAUCAUAGAAAAUGUGCUAAUAGGGAGCUAAGACUUUGCAGUUCUACUCAACAUGUUUUCUUGUCUCAGCUGAGUGCUAAAUCUGAGGUGUUUGUGGGUUUUUUGGGAAGGCCCAGAUCUUCUGUAAAAAGAAAGAUGUAUUUCAGUUCUGAGCUUGGCUUUGUGGCUUGUGUUUGCUAUGGGAAAAGUGCUGUUGCCAAAUUUUAAGUGAAGAGCAGUAUGUUUUAUUUUUAAAACAAAAAUCUACCAACAAGUUCUGAAUAUGUGCUUUCCCUUUCCAUGGGGCUCAGCUGGGGAUGUGUUUCAUCAUUUGAUGAAACAGUCUGUUUUCAAGGCUUCAGAACUCUACCAUUCCUUGUCAACCUCUUUUUCCACCGUUGCAUACCAAUGCACAAACAUGUGGAUGCAUUUUUGCUCUCUCUCAUGUGGACUGAAUGAGAACUCAAAUCCAGAAAUAAGGCUUGCUAUGUGAUAGAAAUGGUGUCAAUGUGGUGAAGAUCUCCAAGUGGUAAAUAUGCACUGUGUUUGUAGGGAUUAGCAGGCAUAGAAAAAUGUGUCUCAGUAUGUCUAACAAAAUUUUUCUGCUUAUUUUAAAUGAAAGCAAUCUCUUGUGUUAGAGGCAGGAUACUUAAAAUCCAAGGUUAAUUUCUUGAUGCCCUUAUUUUAACUUCUAAUCUCUGCAGUAUUGUCAGUCUCAGGAGAAAAAUUACUUGCCACUGAACUUUGGCUGGGAGUGUGAGAAGUUCAUUGCUAAUACACAACAAGCAUUUAGUAGGUCUAGUUCUUGCUAACUUCUUAUGUUUGCAAAGAAUGAUGAAUGCUAUUUUUCAUUAAAGCAACUUUCUGGCACAUAAGCUCUCCCAUCCAACCAAAGGCUACACGUGUACUUUGAUUAUAGAAGGUUUUCCUCGAGAAGGAAUGUUAGACAACACCAGGCUGCUAAAAACAAGGAGCUGGCACCAUUAACCUGAGGUGUCCCACUAGCAGUGAAGAGCUGUGACUGGGCUCCUUGCAGCACAGGGACUCACUGCAGUGGAGAAAGUCUUCUUCUUUCCAUGGUGUGGGUCACAGCUGUGGUAGGGCAUAUUUGCUUCACAGGCACCAGAUUGUGUCUGGCCAGGCCAUAACUAGGAACCCACUGCAGCUGGGAGUAAAUUGUCAAAGGAAGGAAUGCUCAAGAAAACCAUGCCACGCUCUU